UACGUAGGCAGCGAGCGUUGUUCGGAGUUACUGGGCGUAAAGAGUGCGUAGGCGGUUUUUUAAGUCUGGUGUGAAAUCUCCCGGCUCAACUGGGAGGGUGCGCCGGAAACUGGAAGACUGGAGUACCGGAGAGGUCAGCGGAAUUCCUGGUGUAGCGGUGAAAUGCGUAGAUAUCAGGAGGAACACCUGUGGUGUAGGCAGCUGGCUGGACGGUAACUGACGCUGAGGCACGAAAGCGUGGGGAGCAAACAGG
rnacentral:rRNA from 1 species